AUAAAGUUUUAUUCUUGCUUAUUUACUUAUUUUAAUUUGAUGUUAAAUGUAAAGUUUUAUAAUUUAAUAAUUAAUCUCUUGAUGAUUUAGUUUAUAUAUUAGGACAGUAAUAAAUAUUAAACAAUGAAGGGGACUUUGAUUUAGUUAUUUUUUAUAAUGUUGAUUAAAUAUGUGCCAGCAAUCGCGGUUAUACAUGGGACAUAAAUGAGUAUAUUUAGUUAAAUAGUUAAUUUGUUUUAUUUAAUUUAAUUUGAUGAUUUUUGGGUAAAAUUUAAAUUUUUGUUUUAUUUUAAUUUUAUAUAUAAUGAGGCUGUGAAAUCUAAAUUAUUUAAACUAGGAUUAGAUACCCUAUUAUUUUGGAUUUAAAAUUUUGAACUUGAGUAGUAUUAGGUAUGGUCUUGAAACUUAAAGAAUUUGGCGGUAUUUUAGUCUAGUUAGAGGAAUCUGUUCCAUUAUCGAUAAUCCACGUUGAACCUUACUUAGUAUAAUUUAAUAUGUAUACCGCCGUUUAUUUAGUGAAAAUCUUUUUAGAGAUAAUUUUCUUAAAAUUUUAAUUAAUUUUAUUACAGGUCAAGGUGCAGUUUAUUAUUAAGUGGUGAUGGAUUACAUUAUUUAUAAGGUAGACGAAUUAAGGUUUGAAAUUGUUUUAUGAAGGUGGAUUUAAUAGUAAUUAACAAUAAGAAUUAUUUUUGUGAUUAUGGCUCUAAAAUGUGUACACAUCGCCCGUCACUCUCGUUAUUAAGAUGAGAUAAGUCGUAACAAAGUAGGUGUACCGGAAGGUGUAGCUAGAUUGAU
rnacentral:ncRNA from 1 species